rnacentral:lncRNA from 10 species
UACCGUAAGGGCUUUCCCUGGGAGAGGGCUCUGCUGAAAGGGAAUGAUAACAAUGAAAACAAAUACCAGCUUACAUUCGUGCUGGAAAAAAAAAAUGCUUUGCAGUUUUCAAACUGUUUUCCCAUCUGUUGCCUCAUCUGAUCAUAUCAAGGAACAGCACGGUGUCUCACUGGAUCUUAGCCCCUGUUGGAUAUGCAAAGACAGUUGCCUCAGAGCCUGGAAGGAAGCUCAUCUCCACUGUGACCCAACUGGAUGGGGUCCACGAUGGGCCCAUUGUGAGUAGCUGUGACCUGAGCUUCAUGCCCCUCUGGCGAUUAGUCGAAGAGCUGUGAUUGAGGGCGAUGUUCCAAGGUCUGGAGAUGGACCCUUUUAAACCUGACAGGGAGGCCAGGCACGGUAACUCACGCCUGAAAUCCCAGCACUUUGGGAGGCCGAGGCGGGCGGAUCACCUGAGGUCGGGAGUUCGAGACCAGCCUGGCCAACAUAGUGAAACCCCGUCGCCACUAAAAAUACAAAAAUAGCCAGGUGUGAUGGCAGGUGCCUGUGAUCCCAGCUACUUGAGAGGCUGAGGCAGGAGAAUCGCUUGAACCCGGGAGGCGAAGGUUGCAGUGAGCCGAGAUCGCGCCAUUGCACUCCAGCCUGGGAGACAAGAGCAAGACUCUGUCUCAAAAAAAAAAAAAAAUACAAAAACUUGCCAGGGAGUCGGUGAUGUGUGUUCCUGUGAAUGUCAGUUCUUUUCACAGCAUGGUUCUGAGAAAGUGCCCUUAAGCAAGACCAAAUUUAUGGCCAGAAGGAUUGCUCAGACCCAGACAUCUGAGUGGCAUCUAACACUAUUCUAAAGAUUGACUUUGUCCUCAUGCAAGGAAUUUUCCUUUAAAUACUAUAAGAACAAUUCAACAUGCAAUAUAUUCUUGCUGUCUUUCCUAUAAAUAAAUUUCACUGGGCUGGGACGGGAAAUAAAAGCCUUUUUCAACACACUAAAAAAUUGUUGCAGAUGCUGG